GGAUUGCUAGAUGUACCCUCCAAGGUGUUGGCCUCUUUAGAGAGAAAUGGAGAGACUAUUCUCACCAAUUUUCCCAAAAUAAAAACCCUUAAUCACAUUAUGAAUAUUUGGCUAUAAAGUCCUUUAUAUAGUCCCUUUAAAUAAGUGACCUAAAGAACCAAAACCCUAAUUCAUCUAACAUGGCCGGCCUACCUAGGGAUUUUUGGGCUUUUGGGCCUUUGUGAAUCUUUAUUCAUUAAGUUGUCAUACAACUUAAGUCAAUGGGCUUGACUUUCGAAGCCCAUUGGGCCUUAAGGUCCAAAACUAUCCCGAGGUCUUUAACGAACUUAUUCGUUUGAUUAAUUAACAUAUUAAUUAAUCCUUGCCAUAAUUUAAAUGAUUAAACCAUUUAAUCAUUCUUACUCAUCUCCGUUUAAUCUUCAAUCUCCACCUUUUAUGGUGUGCGAUCCAUUAGGUUCCUUUUAGCGAGGUAGUGGGCGAUUAAAACCAUUUUACAUCGAUUGUGAAUUGAAACUAUUUUUCAAUUCUCCCUUUAGUGAUUACACACGUUUAGGGCUUCCACAAACCAUGGUUGACGCCUAGCAGCAUGUCAUGGUUACCCAAGCUAAUCAGAAGAGGUUAGAGAACCUAUUCAGUUCGGGAUUACAAAUGCAAUACAGUCUUUCUCUAAUCUAAUACUCUUGACCACAUUGUUUGGUUUGAUAGUUUAUUUGUUCAUGUCUACUAUCCAAUGUGAAUCUUGUGCUUAUAUGAUUUACUUGAAUGUGAUUUGGAACGCAUUCCCUAAUCUCAUUCAUACUCUGGCCAGAGAUUCUAAAUCAUAUCAUAGAGUAUUCUCCCUCAACUGUUUGAAGGUUAGAGAUCCCUUGUUGCGCAUUCACUUGUCUCCAUAGCUAAGUCACUUGACCCCAACGAUGCCGUGGACACCCCGAGGGGGUGACUUUAACAUAAUCAAAGAUCAAGGACUUAACCACAAGACAACUGUGAUGCCUCAGGUCAAAGGACUACUUUGCAUUAUCCCAACCAUGAGUUCUUAUGUGACAUGGAAUAUGAGAACUCUUCGUUGAUCACGUUCAGUGUACUCAUUCUCUAUUGAGCACCUACGUACUUGUCUUGAUGUCACACACACCAAUGACUCGAGACUAAUCACUCUCCCUGAGAGAAGACAUAGUACGUACCGAUCUUAACGGACUGUCAAUGCCCAAUUGACAAUCCUAUGAUCAGGAACAUUUAGGAUGUGUCUACGAAAGAAUGGUCUCAUGAAUCUAACUUCAUUAGAUUACAUUCUCCCAAUCACAUAUUCCUUGGACUUUAUCGUUUAAGCAUAUAACAUUUAUAUGAGACGGCUCAAACAAUAAUCUUUGCCCUUUAUAUGUAAAACUAGAUUAGUUUAACAUGUGAAAUGUCCGUAAAGUAUCAUCACAUGAUUGGCUUUAGGGCACAUUUCCAACAAUCUCCCACUUGCACUAGAGCCAAUCAGCUUGGUCAUCAGUAUGAUACCUCUUCUGUAGUCAUUUCAUAAAUGGCUGAGUAGUAGGCCUAGUCAAUGGAUAUCUAUAUGUUAGCCAUAGAAGCAACGUUGAGAAUAACGACGUCACCAUUAUACAUGAUUCUCAAUCAUGUGGUUCAGUCUCUCAUUUGUGUUCGGAUCUUGAUGAGACCUUGAUUCCCAGGCUUGAGCUAUCGCCCCAUUAGUGUCAAACACUUUCUGGUUGGAACCGAAUAGAGAGUUCAUAAAUGAACUUUCCCAUCCAAACAACAUUGUUGUAAACUUCUAUAUGGCAAUAUAUCUUGCAUUCAUAAUGGAACACACUAAAGUCAUUACUUUAAUGUUUCCAUCCAAAUAUCUCUUUAGUCAUAAUAAAGAGAUAUCUGUUUAUCUCUUCAUUCAUAAUGAAGAAACAUCCAAUGAUGGAUUAGAUUCAUAAUCUAAUACAUUUACGCUUCCAUUACGUUACUUUGAUUCUUCCUCGAUCUUUGAGGAAUUUAUCUUUUAGUAUUUCUUAAAUACUUAAGGACUCACUUGACAGUUGCCAUGGUUCUGAUCCUGGGCUUGCACUGAUAUCGUCUUGUACCUGUUCUAGGUACAACUCAUAUCAAUGUUUUUCAUACAAUAUGAAAUACAUAAAUCACCUUUCUGCGUAUGCAUAAAGGAUUCAAUUUACGCAUUAUUUCUAUGGGAGUCAAAGAGUACGUUCUCUUGAGAAGAGCAACUUCUUAGUCUCACUAGAGUUGUCCUCUUAAUUGAAGUUUAUCAUUAUAUGAGAAACUUCCUAGCAAAUUUUGUCUAUUAUUAAGGGUAUGAUAUAAUCCAAUUAUAUCCUAAAAUCUAUCAAUAUAGAUUUCCAUCCCAUGUAUAUAGACAAUAUCUCCCAUAUACAUUCUAUCGUUAUAGAAUGUUUAAAGUCAUAACUUUAACGAAGAAGUAUUCCUUUCAUUUCCAAAAUUAAUAUAUCAUAUAUAUUGUAAAUUUUAGGAACAUGAUUAACUCCCACUAAUCUUUUGUAAACCUAGUAAACAAAAGAUUCAUUUACAUCUUUAUAAGCAAUCAAACGAUUUGAUCUUUUUCUCAUAAGAUGCAAAUAGCUCCCACUAGCUUGCUAAGAUCCACGAUGGAUGGAUCUCUACAACUUAGUCCAAACAUUGAAUCAUCAUUUAGUUGUAGCUAGCAAUCUUCGAAUUAAUUGAAACCAAGACUAUCUCAAAGAUGGUUUCUUCAAAGUCAACCAUUCUCUUUGAUUGUAGUCACCUUUAAGCUACCAAUUAGCUUAUGAAGGUUUCAUUAUUUCGGGUCAAAUGGUAUUUUACCAUUUCUUUGAAUAUAUAUCAUAUAUACACUCAAUGUAGUCAUAAGGAUUUUCAUUCUUAUUUCUUUCGAAUUAAGAGGUGCAACUCUAUGACAUAAUCAUAAAGUUCAAACCAUUCAACUGAGACGGUUUAUAAAUCCUUCUCAACUACCUUGGAGCUUUUGGUAUAGGAACUAAGUUGUUAUUUUUGUUGAUUACUUUCUUGUCUCUCAAAGAACUCAUUCUUUGAGUUCUAUCUCUCGUUCAUUUGCUCUUAGGCAAAUCACAUUGUAGAAUUACAAUGAACUACCCAACAAAACAACAUUUGUUAGUUGGUUUAUAGAAGCGAUAUCCAAAAGUUGAUUUAAGGAUAUCCAACAAGAUUGUUAUCAAACAAAUAUUGCUUGUUAGCACACAACCCCAAAUCUUAACAUGCUUAAGAUUUGUCUUUCUUUCCAACUACAUCUUAUGGAGUUAUGAAAAUUUUGGAAGAUCUUCUAAUUGACAAUCAUAUUGUUUUAGAAGUAUAUAUCCUAUAUAUAUGGGUAAUAGAUAACAUCUAACGAACUAAAUCUUAUUCAAGUUCGUUUUUUCUCUUAAUGGAGAAAUACAUUAUCUUAUGAUGCUUCUUUCCUUGAUAUCUUUCGAGGAGAGACUCAUCUAAAGUGUUACUUUUCCUUGGAUCAAAUCUAAGGAGAUAAAUACUUUAGACGUCUUACUCAUCUAUUUACAUUUCUUGAAUUCUUUGAAACAUUUUACAAAGUAUUCGGACUUGUGCUUAUUCAAAAUAAACUAUAGUCCAACCGAGAGUGAUCUUCGGUGAAUGUCAUAUAACAUGAGUAGUAUUAUGUUGUGGACAAGUGCCACUAACAUCUAAGUGAAUUAACCUUAACAACUUUGUGAUUCUUUCUUCUUUCCAAAAGAAUAAAGAUUCGAACAUUUCACCUCUAUACAAUUUUAACAAGAAGGUAUUGGAUCCGGAUCUAACGAUCCAAAGCAUCCAUCUAUGACCAACUCGUAAUUUAUGUUUUAGAGGUAUCACAACUUUAGUUGGGAUUAGUCACUACCUUGCAACCUUUUGGGUUUUAAGCAUCAUUAUUUUCUAAACAGUUAACACUACCAUAUUAUCUCUACUAUAGAGAUAAUUAAUUAGAUUACCAUAAUCCAAUCAUUGAUUAAUAAAGAACAUUGUUUUGUCAAACAAAACAUUUAUCCAUUUCACAUAGUGACGGAAUUUAAGUUCCUUAAAAUUGGAAUGUAAAGACAAUCUAUGUUUUUUCCAAUUUCUUUGGUAGUUCAUAUGAGGAAGUAAGUACCAUCUGCUUUCACAGAGAUCUAUAUUUAGAUUCACGUUUCGAAUGUGAAGUACUUUCUCUUCUCUCAUUAAUCUUCUACUUCUUAUUAGCCACACUUUUACAAUGAUUGUAAAACAUAGUUACUAAUACAGAAUCAAGCAUUCAAGUAGAAGAACCAAAUGUUUUGAACUUUUCAAGAACAUUUUACAACACCUUCGAAAUGUGUGUUAUUGACACUUACAAGACAUUUCUUGCAAAUACCCCUUCCAAUGUCCAUCCUUUCAUAAAGAAAGUUUGUUCCCUUGGAGUUAUUUAUCUUCUUCAUUUGACUUCUCCUUUGACUACAAUAGUCAUGGUCCCUAAACUCCCACUAUCUCUCUUGAAACCUUUUUCAAUUGUGUUAUACACAUCAAACAUUUUGGAGAGCAUGUGGUUUAUUGUUCACUACAUAGUUUACAAUAAGCUUAGUGAACGAUUAGGAUAGGGAAACAAAGGUGAAGUCCUUGCCUAGUUUCCGUCUCGUUAAGUGUUUUAACACGUCAACACUUAAUGAUUCAAAAUCAUCAUAAGUCCAUGUUAAUGGACUAUUUUUGUCAACCAACCAUUAUGUUCUAAACAUAAUUACAAACCUUUCAAGAGUUGUACAAGGCAACUCUCAUUUCUUCAUACAACAAUUUGUAAAUGAAGAAUCAUGGCACAUUAAGUGUUCCAUGCCUUUGUGCUUUCUUCUCAAGUUCCUUGUUCAUGCAACAAAGAAACAAGCACUAAGUGUUUGUAUUGACUAAGAGUUGUUCAAAGCAACUCCUUAUUUCUUCAUACAACAAAUUGUAAUUGAAGAAUUAUGACAUUUUAAAAGUGUUGUCCUCUUUAUGAUAGACCUUUUCUAACAUAUUCUUCUAAUGAUACAUUAUCAAUAGUAAGAUUGUGAGGAUGAGACUACUUAGAUACAUAUGCAAUCCUUUUAAGACAUUCUUUGGGAUUGUGGUUACCUAAGUACGGAAACUAAAACAUUCGGUUUUUAUUUGUCAAGUGUUUGGAUAGCGUUUGCAAAUAUAUUGGUAAACAAAUACAUAACGAAUAUAAAUUGAUUGAUUUUAAGCCAUUUGAUUCGGGUCUUUAAAUCAAAAUAGCACCACCCACUAUUUUUUUGGCAAAUUCCAUAUCCCUCAUCGGAAUUCGAGAGUUUUGGAUGAAACUCUUAGUAGGUUAUGGGAGACUCACUAUUACCAAGCCCACCUCAGAAUGAUACUCCAUAUUGGCUAGCAACAAUAAUAAUGAGAGAGUACGCAUUACUCAUUUGCAACUAAUGCAAGUACCCAUCUCGUUUGGCCUCUAGAGAAUGAUGCCUCAGAAUGAACUCCAUAUUGGCACCAUUGCACUUAGUUAAGUCAUUCCCACCAUGCUAGUUCAAGUAGGGUUUCAAGAAUAGCCUCAGAAUGAACUCCAUAUUGGCCAUCACUCGUUGCCUACCUUUCACUUCAUCAUAUGUUUAUAGGCUUCUCCUGAAUGUAAGCACAUACUUUGCAACCCCCAGAACUGGACGAAUACAUUGUACGAGUCACAAACGAUUGAAGCCCACCACGGUGGAAGGCCACGAAAGAGAGUGUUCUAAGCACUCUCACGCUUAUCAACUUAAUAAUGGUUUGGUUGAGGGUUUUAGGUCUCAUCACAUAUCAAUAUACAUUUUAAUCUCUAUUAAAACAAUUUUGGUCCUAUUACAACUAUUGGUCCAUAUGAUUGUUUUAGUUGUACAUAUAAUACUCCCACUAUGCUUUUAAAACGGUUUUUAAAGCAAGAGUAUAUGUUACUACUAACAUAAGGUUUGCAUUCAUUUGAUGGACUAUAUAGUUGCCUUAGGGCCUUAGGAUGACUAUGAACCUUUGUUUAGAUUCAACACGAGCCUUGUGUUGAAUCUCGGUCUAGGGAUGGAGAUUGAUUUUAGUUACGCGUUUAAUCACAUUAAGGCGUGUGUUGUCAUAGGGGCGUUGGACCCAAUUACUUCAUUUUCAUGCAUAUCAUAUAAAGCAAGAAAGAAAUACUUCAAAGUAAAAGUGAGCUUAUGCUCAUUACAACAUUUGAACAAUUCAAAUUACAACCAAAAAUCUUAAUCUACACAUUCCCAUGGUUCAAACAAAUUUGAAACGGCCUUUCACAUAGCUCAAUUAUUAUAGGCUUAGGUUCAUAAUCAUCCCUUUAAUUAAUUAACAUUUUAACUAAUUAAAUUGAAUGCAACAUUUUCAUUUGGAUUUUGUAUCCAUAAAAUUGAUUUAAAUGGAGCUAAACAAAAUGAAAAUCCAAUUCUCAUUUAAAGAGACAAAACAAUUUUGUUCUCAUCCUAUUUGGGCCAUCAUGCAAUAACCACAACUUUUUUGGGCCAUAUUGCGAAAACAUAAACUUUUGGGGUCACUUUGUAAAAACACAAAAGUCACUACUUCAUGUAAAUUACAACUAGAACCCAAAAUUUAAAUAAACUCAAAAACUUCAUUAAAGGAGCAAAAACAAUUUGUCCUUUAGCGUUUUUAGGCCUUAACGUCAAAACGUAAACUUUCGGGUCAAAGUACAAAUACACAAAAGUAUCAAAAUUUUAUGUAAUUGCAUAAAAGCCCCAAAAAUACCCUAUUUUAAUAGGGUGGCCGGCCAUUUAGGGAAAAGGUGAUGUGGUGGUGUUUGUUGAUUUUGAGUUUUGUCAAAAACAUUCAAGUGGUGCAUAAGAAAAGAAAUUUCUUCACCUUUUCUUUUACCUUUCAUAAUGAUGAUAUAUAUUUCUUUUGCUAUUUAAUCAAAUAUCUAAUAUUUUAAAUAUAUGAUAAAUCAUUUGAAAAACAUAUAACAUAAACUUUAUGAAAUAAUCAAAACUUUGAAUCAAAACACAAAACCUUUUAGUUCUUGGCAAGAACAUCAAGAACAAUGAAGAACAUCUAUGAAAACCCAUAAGAGCUCCAUGAAUGUUUUCAAGCCAUAAAACUCAAAUUUUCACCAUUCAAAAUGAUGUUAACAUCCUAGGGUACUUAGGGGUUACAAAAGUCACCUUAAAACACUUUUAACAAGACAAACAUGAACCCAAAAAAUCACCCUUUGGAUUUGGCCGAAAAUCCCCAAAAUCAUGGCACCAAAUUUUAGCUCCAAUAUUCAUCCUCAUAUGAACUACAUCUACAACAUUUGAGAUGGCAAAUUUUCAAACAAAAUUUACAUUCAAAGAAGCAAGAAUAAAGCUUGUAACAAUUACAACUUUUAAAUCAUAAACUUAUGAACUACAAAACCCAAAAGGAUUCACCAACUACUAGACCUAGGCUCUGAUACCACUUGAAGGAAUUAUUUUGAAAAACAUGUUCAUUUGAGCAACAUCAUAUAGCAUGCAAUUAACAAUUAAAGGCGGAAUCAUGCUUGUAUGCACCCAAAAACAAAACAUUACCAUGAAAUUCAAAGCCUAGUAGAUUGGUGAACCAAUAAUCAACUCAAAACAAAGUGAGUUGAAAUUUUUACCUUUGUGGAUUCCUCUUUGCAUAAGCAAAGGCUAAUCACCCAAAGAGAUAGGGCCUUCAUUCCUUGCUUCUUAGAUCCAUGGAUUUGGAUGGAAAAAUAGGUCUCUAAGUUCCCAAAAUUGAGAACCUCUAAGUCUCUUCACCAAGGUUAGAUGUAGAAGAAAUGAGUGACCUUGGAGUAGUAGGAUUGCUAGAUGUACCCUCCAAGGUGUUGGCCUCUUUAGAGAGAAAUGGAGAGACUAUUCUCACCAAUUUUCCCAAAAUAAAAACCCUUAAUCACAUUAUGAAUAUUUGGCUAUAAAGUCCUUUAUAUAGUCCCUUCAAAUAAGUGACCUAAAGAACCAAAACCCUAAUUCAUCUAACAUGGCCGGCCUACCUAGGGAUUUUUGGGCUUUUGGGCCUUUGUGAAUCUUUAUUCAUUAAGUUGUCAUACAACUUAAGUCAAUGGGCUUGACUUUCAAAGCCCAUUGGGCCUUAAGGUCCAAAACUAUCCCGAGGUCUUU
rnacentral:lncRNA from 1 species